UGGCGGCCUUAGCGCGGUGGUCCCACCUGACCCAUGCCGAACUCAGAAGUGAAACGCCGUAGCGCCGAUGGUAGUGUGGGGUCUCCCCAUGCGAGAGUAGGGAACUGCCAGGCA
rnacentral:rRNA from 1 species